GGCUAUAUAACACUAAAGCACCGGUUCCCAUAUGAUCACCGAAGUUAAGCAACUUCGAGACUUGUCUGUACCUAAAUGAGUGACCGUCUGGGAAUACUCAGAGCU